UGGGGAAUUUUGGACAAUGGGGGAAACCCUGAUCCAGCCAUCCCGCGUGUGCGAUGAAGGCCUUCGGGUUGUAAAGCACUUUUGGCAGGAAAGAAACGUCAUGGGUUAAUACCCCGUGAAACUGACGGUACCUGCAGAAUAAGCACCGGCUAACUACGUGCCAGCAGCCGCGGUAAUACGUAGGGUGCAAGCGUUAAUCGGAAUUACUGGGCGUAAAGCGUUCGCAGGCGGUUCGGAAAGAAAGAUGUGAAAUCCCAGAGCUCAACUUUGGAACUGCAUUUUUAACUACCGGGCUAGAGUGUGUCAGAGGGAGGUGUAAUUCCGCGUGUAGCAGUGAAAUGCGUAGAUAUGCGGAGGAACACCGAUGGCGAAGGCAGCCUCCUGGGAUAACACUGACGCUCAUGCACGAAAGCGUGGGGAGCAAACAGG
rnacentral:rRNA from 1 species